AUUGAACGCUGGCGGCAUGCCUUACACAUGCAAGUCGAACGGCAGCACGGGAGCAAUCCUGGUGGCGAGUGGCGAACGGGUGAGUAAUAUAUCGGAACGUGCCCAGUCGUGGGGGAUAACGUAGCGAAAGCUACGCUAAUACCGCAUACGAUCUAUGGAUGAAAGCGGGGGAUCGCAAGACCUCGCGCGAUUGGAGCGGCCGAUAUCAGAUUAGGUAGUUGGUGAGGUAAAGGCUCACCAAGCCGACGAUCUGUAGCUGGUCUGAGAGGACGACCAGCCACACUGGGACUGAGACACGGCCCAGACUCCUACGGGAGGCAGCAGUGGGGAAUUUUUGGACAAUGGGCGCAGCCUGAUCCAGCAAUGCCGCGUGCAGGAUGAAGGCU
rnacentral:rRNA from 1 species